rnacentral:rRNA from 1 species
GCGGCAGGCUUAACACAUGCAAGUCGAACGUGAAGUCACCUUCGGGUGAUGGAAAGUGGCAGACGGGUGAGUAACGCGUGGGAACCUACCUAGUGGUACGGAAUAACUCAGGGAAACUUGGGCUAAUACCGUAUGUGCCCGAAAGGGGAAAGAUUUAUCGCCAUUAGAUGGGCCCGCGUCGGAUUAGCUAGUUGGUGGGGUAAAAGCCUAACAAGGCGACGAUCCGUAGCUGGUCUGAGAGGAUGAUCAGCCACACUGGGACUGAGACACGGCCCAGACUCCUACGGGAGGCAGCAGUGGGGAAUAUUGGACAAUGGGCGCAAGCCUGAUCCAGCCAUGCCGCGUGAGUGAUGAAGGCCCUAGGGUUGUAAAGCUCUUUCGACGGGGACGAUAAUGACGGUACCCGUAGAAGAAGCCCCGGCUAACUUCGUGCCAGCAGCCGCGGUAAAAC